GACGAACGCUGGCGGCGUGCUUAACACAUGCAAGUCGAACGGAAAGGCCUCUUUCGGGGGGUACUCGCGUGGCGAACGGGUGAGUAACACGUGAGUAACCUGCCCUUGACUUUGGGAUAACUUCAGGAAACUGGGGCUAAUACCGGAUAGGAGCUCCUGCUGCAUGGUGGGGGUUGGAAAGUUUCGGCGGUUGGGGAUGGACUCGCGGCUUAUCAGCUUGUUGGUGGGGUAGUGGCUUACCAAGGCUUUGACGGGUAGCCGGCCUGAGAGGGUGACCGGCCACAUUGGGACUGAGAUACGGCCCAGACUCCUACGGGAGGCAGCAGUGGGGAAUAUUGCACAAUGGGCGGAAGCCUGAUGCAGCAACGCCGCGUGCGGGAUGACGGCCUUCGGGUUGUAAACCGCUUUCGCCUGUGACGAAGCGUGAGUGACGGUAAUGGGUAAAGAAGCACCGGCUAACUACGUG
rnacentral:rRNA from 1 species